rnacentral:rRNA from 1 species
UACGUAGGGUGCAAGCGUUGUCCGGAAUUAUUGGGCGUAAAGAGCUCGUAGGCGGUUUGUCGCGUCGAAUGUGAAAACCCGGGGCUCAACCCCGGGCCUGCAUUCGAUACGGGCAGACUAGAGUUCGGUAGGGGAGUCUGGAAUUCCUGGUGUAGCGGUGAAAUGCGUAGAGACCCGGAGGAACACCAGUGGCGAAGGCGGCGUCCUGGCCUGCGACUGACGCUGUGGCGCGAAAGCUAGGGGAGCGAACGGG